GGGUGAGUAGCUCAGCCGGUUAGAGCGCGCGGUUCACAUCCGCGAGGUCAGGGGUUCGAGUCCCUUCUCACCCACCG
rnacentral:tRNA from 1 species